rnacentral:snoRNA from 2 species
UCAUGAAACGAUGAGUUCUAGCAGACCAGUAAUGAUUCUUGCAGGAAUGAUCGCACGAUUCAAAGAACAUCUAAGGGACUGAGUGUGC